AACGAACGCUAGCGGCAGGCCUAACACAUGCAAGUCGAGCGAACCCUUCGGGGUUAGCGGCGGACGGGUGAGUAACGCGUGGGAAUAUGCCCUUUGCUACGGAAUAGCCCCGGGAAACUGGGAGUAAUACCGUAUGUGCCCUUCGGGGGAAAGAUUUAUCGGCAAAGGAUUAGCCCGCGUUGGAUUAGGUAGUUGGUGGGGUAAUGGCCUACCAAGCCUACGAUCCAUAGCUGGUUUGAGAGGAUGAUCAGCCACACUGGGACUGAGACACGGCCCAGACUCCUACGGGAGGCAGCAGUGGGGAAUCUUAGACAAUGGGGGUAACCCUGAUCUAGCCAUGCCGCGUGAUCGAUGAAGGCCUUAGGGUUGUAAAGAUCUUUCAGCUGGGAAGAUAAUGACGGUACCAGCAGAAGAAGCCCCGGCUAACUCCGUGCCAGCCGCCGCCGUAAAAC
rnacentral:rRNA from 1 species